rnacentral:rRNA from 1 species
GAUGAACGCUGGCGGCGUGCCUAAUACAUGCAAGUCGAGCGAACAGAUAAGGAGCUUGCUCCUUUGACGUUAGCGGCGGACGGGUGAGUAACACGUGGGUAACCUACCUAUAAGACUGGGAUAACUUCGGGAAACCGGAGCUAAUACCGGAUAACAUUUGGAACCGCAUGGUUCUAAAGUGAAAGAUGGUUUUGCUAUCACUUAUAGAUGGACCCGCGCCGUAUUAGCUAGUUGGUAAGGUAACGGCUUACCAAGGCGACGAUACGUAGCCGACCUGAGAGAGUGAUCGGCCACACUGGAACUGAGACACGGUCCAGACUCCUACGGGAGGCAGCAGUAGGGAAUCUUCCGCAAUGGGCGAAAGCCUGACGGAGCAACGCCGCGUGAGUGAUGAAGGGUUUCGGCUCGUAAAACUCUGUUAUUAGGGAAGAACAAACGUGUAAGUAACUGUGCACGUCUUGACGGUGCCUAAUCAGAAAGCCACGGCUAACUACGUG